GCUGUCUCUUAGCUCGCCCACACAUACUAAACCCCACAAAACAAGCAAAACAAAACAUUUGCCAAAACCAGUAAAUGCGAUUAAACCCUACCAACGACGCUAUAGCAACCAGUACCGCAAGGGAAAAAUGAAAUACCAUAACUAACAAAGCAAAAUAAAGCAAGGAUAUACCCCUGUACCUUUUGCAUCAUGAUCUAGCAAGAAACAACAGGCAAAAAGAUGCUACAGUCCGCCACCCCGAAAUCAAGUGAGCUACUUCCGGACAACCUUUAGAACUAACCCGUCUCUGUAGCAAAAGAGUGGGAUGACCCAGAAGUAGAGGUAAAAAGCCAAACGAACUUGAUGAUAGCUGGUUGCCUGAUAAAUGAAUCUUAGUUCAACUUCAAGACCAAACACACCCCAUAGUGACCAACCCUACAAGACUUGAAAGAUAUUCAAUAGGGGUACAGCCCUAUUGAAAUAGAAUACAACCUAAUGUAGAGAGAACUUACACCCAACACACCAGUAGGCCCUAAAGCAGCCACCACCUACCUAAAGCGUCAUAGCUAAACCUAAAAAAUCUCGACACAUCAACCAAUCUCCUGCAAACUCAUCGGGCAAUUCUAUAAAACUAUAGAAGAACCAAUGCUAGAAUUAGUAACAAGAAAACUUCUCUUAACACACCUGUAACUCAGUAAUAGAACAUCUACUGACAAUUAACAGACCAAAAUAAGGCCUAUACAACACCCACAAGAAAGAAAAUUAACCAACUGUUACCCCAACACAGGAGUGUGGAAAAGAAAGAUAAAAAGUUAAGAAAGGAACUAGGCAAAUAUAAGUCUCAACUGUUUACCAAAAACAUAGCCUUUAGCAAAAAUAUUAAAGGUCCCGCCUGCCCAGUGACUCAUUAAACGGCCGCGGAAUCCUAACCGUGCAAAGGUAGCGUAAUCAUUUGUCCCCUAAAUAGGGACCGGUAUGAAUGGCUAAAUGAGGACUUAACUGUCUCUCUUAACUAAUCAAUGAAAUUGAUUUACCAGUACAAAAGCUGGUAUAUACUCAUAAGACGAGAAGACCCUGUGGAGCUUAAAAUGCUUAUACCAACACACAAAACAUGGCAUAACAUUUUCAGUUGGGGCGACUACGGAAACAAACAAAACUUCCAAGCCAAGGAUUUAACCUCACCACAGACAGACAUGUCAUAUAAAAUGACCCAGAAUUUCUGAAUAACGAACCAAGUUACCCCAGGGAUAACAGCGCCAUCUUCUUCUAGAGCCCCCAUCGACAAGAAGGUUUACGACCUCGAUGUUGGAUCAGGACACCCAAAUGGUGCAACCGCUAUUAAAGGUUCGUUUGUUCAACGAUUAAAGUCCUACGCGAUCUGAGUUCAGACCGGAGAAAUCCAGGUCGGUUUCUAUCUAUGCCAAAUUUCCUUCAGUACGAAAGGACCAAGAAAAUAGGACCCCUUUUAACAAAAAGUCCUUCAAGCUAAUAGAUGCUAUAAACUCAAUCUUUACACGACCUAAAAAAUAGCCCUAGAUAAGGGCUU
rnacentral:rRNA from 1 species